rnacentral:lncRNA from 1 species
GUUGGUAAGGGCUCUUUGCCUCUUGAGGGCCCCUUAACAGCAUCUUUAUUAGACUCCCAUAAGGGUGACUUCAUAGUGAAGGCCAAAGCAUAAGAUUGGUUGGCUUUCGCCACCAGAGUAGUUGAUAUAACCUCUGGCCCGUCACACGCCCUGGGUAAUGGGGCCUGGUAUUUCAAGCUCUCUUUGGGGACUGGGAAUAUAGCGGAAAGUCUUAGAGUGCUGUUCUGGGCAUGGCUUUGUGACUAACUAGCCUGCAACCUUAGUCCAGGAACCUAUUCUGUGACUCUUUUCUUACCUGUGGAAUAAUAGGCUAGGUGAGUUCUAAGUUUCACAAGUAUGCAAUGCAUUUUCUGUUUUUCAGAGUGAACUAAUACGAGAAACCAACUCUGUAGAUGACAAGGUUAAUGAAAAUCUUAGACAGAAGUUGCUGUAAACAUUUCAGAUUGAUUGAGGACAUUGCAGCAGCCACAGAGACGUGAAAGAGGACUGCUGGAACUGCUUCAGAAGGCAGCAAGACCCGCGGGAGAACUGUCUGAAGUGAGGGAGGAAUACUUUGCGGGUGAUUAGUGGUGCAAACACCGGGUGCUCAGAAUGUGUCAAGCUUUCAUUGUCCACAACACGGAAGGGCAGAGACAAGAUGAGGAACAAGGAUGCAGGUCAUUGGUGACCAGAACACAAAUGCUUCCAUUAUUUCAUUCUUCCCCGAAGUCUGUGAUCGACUGGGGCAGGAGAUGCUCUGGGUUUUACAGAUGGAGACGCUAAGGUCCCAAGAAGGUGACCAUGCCAGUUGGCACAGCAAGCUACUAAGCUGGCACUGGGAUGGUGGUGGUUGUGGCUCUACCUCACCGAGCACAGGUCUCCAGUUGCAGUUGUCACAUUUCAAGGGCUCAAUAGCCACAUGUGCAUCUUAGUGGAAGCCCCACCUGGAUCAAGGCAUGAGAACAUAAACACCGCCUCUCGAUGGGAGAAGGGCCAAGCUGAGACUUCCCUCUAAAAUGCUCUCCCGCUCAGUGUGGAGCUCCGAGAGGCUAGCUGGAGUCUGUGUGCGACCUGGAAGGUUUGGGGUGGACUUGCCGUGCCACGGAAUGAAAGCAAGCCUGGCCCCCUUCUCACUGAUUGAAAGACGGAGCCACUGACAGCCAUCUCCAGCAGCUUCCUUGCUGGCGGGGGUUCCUCCAUUAACAGCAAUGAAAAUAAUUUGGGAGAACAUAAGCCCAUCGAAUGCUGUUGCUGUCCUAUGCAUUGCACCAAAUGAGGAGAAGCCCGGUGAGCUCCAUCGUUUGUCACACGGAAGCAUAACACAGUAGCGGGGUUGCCGGCAUCUGGAGUUGGUGGCAGUAGACGGUGUGGCAGCAACCAGGGCACUGAGACCUGGGACCAGGGCGCACAUUUCACGGGUCUCUGUGCAG